rnacentral:tRNA from 2 species
GGAGAGGUGUCGGAGUGGUCUAUCGUGCAGUCCUGGAAAGACUGUUUGCGUCAAAAGCGCAACGAGGGUUCGAAUCCCUCCCUCUCCG